AAAUUGAAGAGUUUGAUCAUGGCUCAGAUUGAACGCUGGCGGCAGGCCUAACACAUGCAAGUCGAACGGUAACAGGAAAAAGCUUGCUUUUUUGCUGACGAGUGGCGGACGGGUGAGUAAUGUCUGGGAAACUGCCUGAUGGAGGGGGAUAACUACUGGAAACGGUAGCUAAUACCGCAUAACGUCGCAAGACCAAAGAGGGGGACCUUCGGGCCUCUUGCCAUCGGAUGUGCCCAGAUGGGAUUAGCUAGUAGGUGGGGUAACGGCUCACCUAGGCGACGAUCCCUAGCUGGUCUGAGAGGAUGACCAGCCACACUGGAACUGAGACACGGUCCAGACUCCUACGGGAG
rnacentral:rRNA from 1 species